rnacentral:tRNA from 1 species
UGCCCGGCCGAGUGGUUAGGUUGUUGUUUGGUGAACUUGAGGUCUCCGGUUCGAAUCCGGUUACGAGCAA